AGUGAACGCUGGCGGUAGGCUUAACACAUGCAAGUCGAACGGCAGCACAGUAAGAGCUUGCUCUUACGGGUGGCGAGUGGCGGACGGGUGAGGAAUACAUCGGAAUCUACUCUUUCGUGGGGGAUAACGUCGGGAAACUUACGCUAAUACCGCAUACGAUCUACGGGUGAAAGCAGGGGAUCUUCGGACCUUGCGCGAUUGAAUGAGCCGAUGUCGGAUUAGUUAGUUGGCGGGGUAAAGGCCCACCAAGGCGACGAUCCGUAGCUGGUCUGAGAGGAUGAUCAGCCACACUGGGACUGAAACACGGUCCAGACUCCUACGGGAGGCAGCAGUGGGGAAUAUUGGACAAUGGGCGCAAGCCUGAUCCAGCCAUACCGCGUGGGUGAAGGAGGCCUUCGGGUUGUAAAGCCCUUUUGUUGGGAAAGAAAAGCAGCAGGUUAAGACCCCGCUGUUCUGACGGUACCCAAAGAAUAAGCACCGGCUAACUUCGUG
rnacentral:rRNA from 1 species